rnacentral:rRNA from 1 species
UACGUAGGGUGCGAGCGUUAAUCGGAAUAACUGGGCGUAAAGCGCGCGCAGGCGGCUUUUUAAGACAGAUGUGAAAUCCCCGGGCUUAACCUGGGAAUUGCCUUUCUGACUGGGAGUCUAGAGUACGUUAGAGAGGGAUGGAAUUCCACGUGUAGCAGUGAAAUGCGUAGAGAUGUGGAGGAACACCGAAGGCGAAGGCAGUCCCCUGGGAAUGUACUGACGCUCAUGCGCGAAAGCGUGGGGAGCAAACAGG